rnacentral:rRNA from 1 species
UACAGAGGUCUCAAGCGUUGUUCGGAUUCAUUGGGCGUAAAGGGUGUGUAGGUGGCGCCGUAAGUCGGGUGUGAAAUUUCGGAGCUUAACUCCGAAACUGCAUUCGAUACUGCGGUGCUUGAGGACUGGAGAGGAGACUGGAAUUUACGGUGUAGCGGUGAAAUGCGUAGAUAUCGUAAGGAAGACCAGUGGCGAAGGCGGGUCUCUGGACAGUUCCUGACGCUGAGGCACGAAGGUCAGGGGAGCAAUCGGG